UUCAGUCCCAGUUUAAAUGGUUUUAAUUCUUCAAACAGUUUGUAUUUUUUGCACCGCCAGUACACAGAAGCGUUUUAUAACGAUCUUUAUUGAUAAAUCGAUAUGUGGCCAUUGUUUAUUGCGUUUUGAAGAGCACUCGCUUCGUCUUUCCAACAAGACGCGUAGGUUCGGCGCUCCGAUUUGCAUUUAAGCUGUCAUCUUCUCGGAAGCAGGCGCUCAUGCUUGGAGACCUGCAGAGCACGAACUGCAGCAUGUAUGCCGAAAUAAACAGCUAUUGCCUAUUUAAAAUAGAACCAAUGUAA
rnacentral:lncRNA from 1 species